ensembl:lncRNA
AUGCCUAAACCUGUGCAGUGUGAUAAAUGCAAAUUAUUUGGCCAUGUGUCAAGUGUAUGUAGAUGGGAGGAGUACCGGGCUGUCCAGCAUGUCUCCUGUCCUGAGGUGAUGAGAAUAAGGGCUGUCCAGCAUGUCUCCUGUCCUGAGGUGAUGAGAAUAAGGGCUGUCCAGCAUGUCUCCUGUCCUGAGGUGAUGAGAAUAAGGGCUGUCCAGCAUGUCUCCUGUCCUGAGGUGAUGAGAAUAAGGGCUGUCCAGCAUGUCUCCUAUCCUGAGGUGGUGAGAAUAAGGGCUGUCCAGCAUGUCUCCUAUCCUGAGGUGGUGAGAAUAAGGGCUGUCCAGCAUGUCUCCUGUCCUGAGGUGAUGAGAAUAAGGGCUGUCCAGCAUGUCUCCUGUCCUGAGGUGAUGAGAAUAAGGGCUGUCCAGCAUGUCUCCUGUCCUGAGGUGAUGAGAAUAAGGGCUGUCCAGCAUGUCUCCUAUCCUGAGGUGGUGAGAAUAAGGGCUGUCCAGCAUGUCUCCUAUCCUGAGGUGGGGAGAAUAAGGGCUGUCCAGCAUGUCUCCUAUCCUGAGGUGGUGAGAAUAAGGGCUGUCCAGCAUGUCUCCUAUCCUGAGGUGGUGAGAAUAAGGGCUGUCCAGCAUGUCUCCUGUCCUGAGGUGGUGAGAAUAAGGGCUGUCCAGCAUGUCUCCUGUCCUGAGGUGGUGAGAAUAAGGGCUGUCCAGCAUGUCUCCUGUCCUGAGGUGGUGAGAAUAAGGGCUGUCCAGCAUGUCUCCUAUCCUGAGGUGGGGAGAAUAAGGGCUGUCCAGCAUGUCUCCUAUCCUGAGGUGGGGAGAAUAAGGGCUGUCCAGCAUGUCUCCUAUCCUGAGGUGGGGAGAAUAAGGGCUGUCCAGCAUGUCUCCUAUCCUGAGGUGGUGAGAAUAAGGGCUGUCCAGCAUGUCUCCUAUCCUGAGGUGGUGAGAAUAAGGGCUGUCCAGCAUGUCUCCUGUCCUGAGGUGGUGAGAAUAAGGGCUGUCCAGCAUGUCUCCUGUCCUGAGGUGGUGAGAAUAAGGGCUGUCCAGCAUGUCUCCUGUCCUGAGGUGGUGAGAAUAAGGGCUGUCCAGCAUGUCUCCUGUCCUGAGGUGGUGAGAAGAGUGGAAGAAAGGAGUGAAGUUGAAGAAGUAAUGGUAGUAGGAGAAGAGACACCAGAGAAUGUUUCUUGUCAACAGAGGGAUCCUGACCUGUUGCAUGUAAAGAAGGUGGACAUGGUAGUGUUUAUUGCAUUGGUUAUCAACUGCACAGCGCAAACAGAGAGGGAAUCUGAGAAAAUAGGCACCGUUCUGUGCGGCUGA